AACGUAGGACGCAAGCGUUAUCCGGAGUUACUGGGCGUAAAGCGCGGGCAGGCGGCUCGAAACGUCUGAUGUGAAAUCUCCUCGCUCAACGGGGAGAGGCCAUUGGAAACGGUCGAGCUGAAGGGCAGUAGAGGUAGGCGGAAUUCCGGGUGGAGUGGUGAAAUGCGUAGAGAUCCGGAGGAACACCAGAGGCGAAGGCGGCCUACUGGGCUGCACCUGACGCUGAGCCGCGAAAGCCAGGGGAGCGAACGGG
rnacentral:rRNA from 1 species